GAUGAACGCUGGCGGCGUGCCUAAUACAUGCAAGUCGAACGCUGGAGCUCUAGCUUGCUAGAUCGAAGGAGUGGCGAACGGGUGAGUAAUACAUAAGCAACCUACCCACGAAGACUGGGAUAAUCUCUGGAAACGGGGACUAAUACCGGAUAGGUAAUCGGAAGGCAUCUUCUGGUUAUUAAAGGUUAAAAACACUGGUGGAUGGGCUUAUGGCGCAUUAGUUAGUUGGUGAGGUAACGGCCCACCAAGACGAUGAUGCGUAGCCGGCAUGAGAGGGUGAACGGCCACAUUGGGACUGAGACACGGCCCAGACUCCUACGGGAGGCAGCAGUAGGGAAUGUUCGGCAAUGGGGGCAACCCUGACCGAGCAACGCCGCGUGAGUGAAGACGGCCUUCGGGUUGUAAAGCUCUGUUGUAAGGGAAGAACGGUAGAUAGAGAAUAUCUAAGUGACGGUACCUUACCAGAAAGCCACGGCUAACUACGUG
rnacentral:rRNA from 1 species